UUCUAAAUUAUUAUAUUAAAAUUAUCUGCAACAUUUAUUUUUGAUAUAUUAUAAUUAUAUUGUUUAAAUUUUGGGAUCAAACAAGUCGAUCGAUUGUUGUCGUUGAUUCGGCGAAUUUAUGGUUUGGUAGAUUUUUUCUAGUUUGGCAACUUUGUUCGUGGUUCUUGUGUCAGACUGACAGCUGGCUGAGCUGAGAGACAGGUUAUGGAAAGUGGGGACGUCGCGAGAGCGCCGGAGACUCCACUGCCAUAACAAUAAUGUGGGCAAAUUAAAAGCCACGAUUUAUCGGCGACAUCAAGAGCCGAUGUCUCGAUUUAAAUAAACAACUUAACCGAGAUGGUGAGUCCUCGUAAUUCUUCGUGCAUAUUUUUGCACCAACUUUGUGAUAACCUCGAGGUCCUUGUUUUCAGCAACAUCACUGAAAUCCCAUCGCCUAAGGUCCAGUGGGUGGGUUUAGGUUUCAUCCGAGCGAUGCCCAACUAUCCCGGAUGAACCUAUGGGGUUUUGUUUGUUUUCUUUAAGUUUUUAACGUUUUAACGUUUUUGCAAGUUUUUAACGUCUAACGUUUUGCAAGUUCUAUGAAGAAGUUUAUGAUUGGAUCAGACUAUUUCAACAAAUUUUGUGAAUGAAGAUUGCUACUGUUUUCUUCUGCGUUUGCAAGUUAUUCCAAGCUUCAUUACGGCGGAGCUUGCCUUGGUUGUUUGCACGUCGAAGCUUUCCUUUGUGCGGCGCGCAUGUGGAUGUGCCGCGCCUCUCCUUUUGUCAACACUCCGGAUAAGGCCCGGUGAAGGACUGCGAGGUUGACCGGUGGACGUGCAGCCCGCCAGCUGCGUAACAGUUGGCCCGCUGCGCCGCCAUCGUCCAGCACGCCCUGGCCUGAGCCGGCCUCAACUCAUCACCUGUACGGUAUUCCGGAACGCCUCAGGUAGGCCUGAUAGUCGGAGGUCCUCGAGUAAGUGAGGUGCCCACAGGUGUACGGACAGUAGUUUUAAAUAUAGUGCUAGCACAUGGUAUGUUGCAGAGAGAUACUUUACCUAACGGCCCAUUUCUUUUUUAUGGAAUACCAUUAAAGCAAAGUGUUUCAGUGGCGCCCUUCUUGGUGAAAUUGUCGCUCUGUACAACCAUUUAGAAUAUAAGUGGUGUUGGCAUAAACUUUAAGAAUUUUUUUUUGUGAAAACAGUGUAUUUUUUAAUAAAAAAAGUGAUGGGAUUUUGUGUGAAUUGUUUGUGUUUUGUUUGCAUCUUAGGUUAAGUUGUGUUUUGUCUUAGCAUAAGUAAGGUUCUAGGCCUCAUACAGAGACCUAACUUAAAUAUUUUUUUUUGUACAAAAAGUUAAAACCCAAUUUUAUGACCAAACUGGUCUAGGGCUUAUUGUCAUUUUUAGUAUUACAUUUGUGUUUUCUUUUAACCUUUAUAGGUAUAAACUACAGGUUGAACCAAAUUUUUAAUGCUUACUAGCAAUUAUUUUUUACCAGGAUUGAGUACCUAUUUUUUUUAAGUAAAAUUUGGACAAAAAAUAUCUAUAUUAAAUGAGUUUUGUAAACAUAUAGAUUUAAUUAACAAAACAAUUUCACAUUUAAAAACAAUUAUAAUUUAUUACUUUCUAGUUUUUUUUUAACAUUUAUAACAGGACAUUAGUUAGAAAUAGAAAUUUAGUAACUUUGUUUCAUCAUCAUUAUAGACUGUUGUGUGCCGCUGAUGGCAAACAUUUUGCUUAUUUGUUUUUAUUGAAAUAAUUAUAGAACUGUCUUCCAAUAACAUCUUUAUUGAGUAAUAUUUAGUAGUCAACUUGCUUUACAAUCUUAAUUUAUUCACAACAUAUUACAACUUACAA